UUGAAAUGUCAGUUCUCGUGCGAUUACCGAAGUUAAGCAACGUCUAGCCCGGCCAGUACCAAGAUGGGUGACCGCUUGAGAAUACUAGUUGCUGUCA